rnacentral:rRNA from 1 species
GACGAACGCUGGCGGCGUGCUUAACACAUGCAAGUCGAACGGAAAGGCCCUGCUUUUGUGGGGUGCUCGAGUGGCGAACGGGUGAGUAACACGUGAGUAACCUGCCCUUGACUUUGGGAUAACUUCAGGAAACUGGGGCUAAUACCGGAUAGGAGCUCCUGCUGCAUGGUGGGGGUUGGAAAGUUUCGGCGGUUGUGGAUGGACUCGCGGGUUAUCAGCUUGUUGGUGGGGUAGUGGCUUACCAAGGCUUUGACGGGUAGCAGGCCUGAGAGGGUGACCGGCGACAUUGGGACUGAGGUACGGCACAGACUGCUACGGGAGGCAGCAGUGGGGAAGAUUGCACAAUGGGCUGAAGCCUGAUGCAGCAGCGCCGCGUGCGGGAUGACGGCCUUCGGGGUGUAAACCGCUUUCGCCUGUGACGAAGCGUGAGUGACGGUAAUGGGUAAAGAAGCACCGGCUAACUACGUG